ACCACACUAGUUUCCAGCCAAUGAGAAAAACACCAUACUGGGUCACGUUAUUCUUAAGUAGACUUUGUCUCCUUCGUGGGUCAUGUUAUUCGAAACUAGACUUUGUCUCCUUACAUGUUCACUUCUUAUCUGAGGACUCCCGAAUGGAUAUACCCGUUUUACCAAGACGCGGUGUAUUUGAAUAAAUACUGAACUGUCGAGGUAGGCAUCGUUUCGAGAAACCUAUACAUGAAUUCAGUGGCGAUGUUACGGGUGCAACCAUUCGAAGUGAACUGAUCACGGAUGGGAGAGGGGAGUGACGUUCAGGUGACCAGCCAGGGGUCUUGAUGUCCAAAGAAGCUGCGGAGGACGACUUCUCGGUCAGGGUGGCGGCAUUACUGUCAACGUGGCGCAGGCUUCCCGGUUGGGCAGGGGAUGAAAGUGAAGAUUAGGCCCCCUCUUCCCCUCUGAUGUCACGUAGCGCAAACGCGAGCUCGAUGAGAGCUACAUGGCAUCCUGGGCUCCAUCAUUUAAAGAAUGGCCUCAUGCACCGGGAUGAUCUCUGGAACCAUUCUAAUAUCGUGGAUCGUUGUGGGAGGAGCUUUUCUCACAGGUCUGGCUAUGACAUUGGUCAGAGCUGGCUUUGGUGGUGGUGCCACCUCUCUCUCC